rnacentral:lncRNA from 1 species
AAAUGAGAGUAUAUGUAAAGGAGUUAAUUUUUUUUAAGAUUUUAUUUAUUCAUGAGAGACACACACAGAGUGAGGCAGAGACACAGGCAGAGGCAGAAGCAGGCUCCAUGCAGGGAGCCCGAUGUGGGACUCGAUCCUGGGACUCCAGGAUCAUGCCCUGGGCUGAAGGCAGAUUCUGAACCACUGAGCCACCCAGGUGCCCCUGAGGAGGGAGUUACUUUUUAAAAUGAAAACUCAUGAUGAUGACGACAGUGAGGUCAGAAUUGCUUCUCCUCAGUUAAAAGGUGUUCGGUUCUGUACGGACUCCAGGGGCAGCCAGACCUGCAACGAGAGGAAUGUGGAUCUCCGUUCAUUUAACAAACAAAUGACCUAUAGCUGUCUUGAGCGGAGACAGGAUGUGUAUAUUAGGAAAUCAAACAGCAGGAAAAUAUAAGACCGGUAUGGGAUGGGGACAGGCUCUUCCAGAGCACAGAACAGGCCACCGCAUUGUAACACAGCCUCUCAGCCCUGUAACCUCAGUAUCUGGUUCCCACAGAGUGAGGUCGAUGGGCUCACCCAAUCCACCCACAGAUUACAGGUGCCACAGCCCCAGGCCCUGAUCUGACAGAGACACAUGUGGCUGAGUCACAAUGAGGUCAUUCUCCUGGGCCGGAGGCCACAGCUGGUCCUGAAGGUGGACAAGGCCGUGGACAAGGCUGGCCUCAGGCCUCGACCACCAUGGAUGGGAGCCCAGACCAAUCUCUCUCAGGCUCAACAGGUGACUCUUUGCUACUUCUAUGUUAAAACAAACACAACAAAGCAAGUUCCGUCUUCAGAAUGGAGAUGGAAGAAUGACUGGAAGCCGGACCCUGAUCCCAGCAGUAGAAGACGGAAGGCAGGAAGUGUGCCCUUGCAGGAAGAGGGGGCUGGCCCAAGAAUGACUCUCUAG